rnacentral:rRNA from 1 species
CCUACGGGUGGCAGGGGUGGGGAAUAUUGGACAAUGGGGGCAACCCUGAUCCAGCCAUGCCGCGUGUGUGAAGAAGGCCCUCGGGUUGUAAAGCACUUUCAGUGAGGAAGAACGCCUGGUGGUUAAUACCCAUCAGGAAAGACAUCACUCACAGAAGAAGCACCGGCUAACUCCGUGCCAGCAGCCGCGGUAAUACGGAGGGUGCGAGCGUUAAUCGGAAUUACUGGGCGUAAAGCGCGCGUAGGUGGCUUGAUAAGCCGGUUGUGAAAGCCCCGGGCUCAACCUGGGAACGGCAUCCGGAACUGUCAAGCUAGAGUGCAGGAGAGGAAGGUAGAAUUCCCGGUGUAGCGGUGAAAUGCGUAGAGAUCGGGAGGAAUACCAGUGGCGAAGGCGGCCUUCUGGACUGACACUGACACUGAGGUGCGAAAGCGUGGGUAGCAAACAGGAUUAGAUACCCCGGUAGUC